rnacentral:rRNA from 1 species
UACGGGGGGAGCAAGCGUUGUUCGGAUUUACUGGGCGUAAAGGGCGCGUAGGCGGCCACUGCAAGUCAGUUGUGAAAUCUCCGGGCUUAACUCGGAAAGGUCAACUGAUACUGCAGGGCUAGAGUGCAGAAGGGGCAACUGGAAUUCUCGGUGUAGCGGUGAAAUGCGUAGAUAUCGAGGGGAACACCUGCGGCGAAGGCGGGUUGCUGGGCUGACACUGACGCUGAAGCGCGAAAGCCAGGGGAGCGAACGGG